rnacentral:rRNA from 1 species
UGGGGAAUAUUGCGCAAUGGGGGAAACCCUGACGCAGCGACGCCGCGUGCGGGAUGAAGGCCUUCGGGUUGUAAACCACUUUUGAUUGGGAGCAAGCCUUUUGGGUGAGUGUACCUUUCGAAUAAGCGCCGGCUAACUACGUGCCAGCAGCCGCGGUAAUACGUAGGGCGCAAGCGUUAUCCGGAAUUAUUGGGCGUAAAGGGCUUGUAGGCGGUUGGCCGCGUCUGCCGUGAAAUCCUCUGGCUUAACUGGGGGCGUGCGGUGGGUACGGGUUGACUUGAGUGCGGUAGGAGAGACUGGAAUUCCUGGUGUAGCGAUGGAAUGCGCAGAUAUCAGGAGGAACACCGGUGGAGAAGGCGGGUCUCUGGGCCGUUACUGACGCUGAGGAGCGAAAGCGUGGGGAGCGAACAGG